rnacentral:lncRNA from 10 species
UCUGUCCUGGGUUGAAUAGGGCCCCUCAAAACGUACCUUCACCUAGAACCUCAGAACACGAUCUUAUCUGAAAAUUGGAUCCUUGCAGAUGCGAUUAGGAUCAGGCCCUAAAUUCAAGGACUGGUGUCCUUGUAAGAAGAGGAGAGGACAUCCUGAUCCACACGAGGAAGAACCAUGGGACGAUGGAGGCAGAGCGUGGAGGGACGCAGCCACCAGCCAGGAGCACCUGCAGCCACAGGGACCUGUGAGAGAGGCGGGGAAAGGAGAAGUCUCCGAGAGGCCUUGGAAGGAGCAGGCCCUGCCCACAACUUGACUUUGGACUUCUGGCCUCUGGAACUAUGAGAAACUAGAUUGCCCUUUCUCCAUUGCCGUGGCCACCAUCCAAGCCUCCGUGAAUCUUGCCAGGACCUGUCCCACAGCUCGCCGAGGGAUUCCCCACAUUUAUUCUUGCCUCCACCCAAUCUGAUCUCUGCAGAGCAGUGUGUUCUUGGGAAAACACAAAUUGGAUGACGCAGAUCCCUCGUUUGAAUCAUUCGGCCGUUUUGCAUUACUCUUAGGCUAAAAUCCAAGAUCCUCAGCACGGCCCCCAAGGCUCUGCUCGCUCCGGCCCCUGCCUGCCUCUCCAGCCUCAUCUCACCACCCCCGCUUUACUUCUCUUUUGUGAAACUACAAUCACGCUGACCUUCUUUCCAUUUCCACACGGAGCCGGACUCCACCCUGCCCUGGAGUGUUUGUUUCCACUCUUCCCUCUGAUGGAGACACUUGUCCCAUUUCUCAUCGGAGUGAUCUCCCCACCCUUCAAGUCCAGGAUAAUUAUCACUCCCUCACGGAGGGUUGUGCAUGGAGCCCCUAGGUUUGGCAUAGCUUGCACCCUGGGCCUGGACAAGGAGGACCUACCAGUGAUGACAUCAUCAGCCCCACCCAUACCAGACAUCUGAGGCUCUUCCCCUUCAUCUCUGCAAGUCAUUGUGGUUGGAAAAUCUUAAGUUGCCUAAAUCAAACCUGGGAGAUAGUGUUUCUCAAAUGCCAGAAGAGACAAGUCAGAACAUGUAGAAGUGGUUUUCUAAGGAAUUAACUGCAAUCAAAUUGCUAU